rnacentral:rRNA from 1 species
AGAGCGAACGCUGGCGGCAGGCUUAACACAUGCAAGUCGAGCGGGCGUAGCAAUACGUCAGCGGCAGACGGGUGAGUAACGCGUGGGAACGUACCUUUUGGUUCGGAACAACCCAGGGAAACUUGGGCUAAUACCGGAUAAGCCCUUACGGGGAAAGAUUUAUCGCCGAAAGAUCGGCCCGCGUCUGAUUAGCUAGUUGGUGAGGUAAUGGCUCACCAAGGCGACGAUCAGUAGCUGGUCUGAGAGGAUGAUCAGCCACAUUGGGACUGAGACACGGCCCAAACUCCUACGGGAGGCAGCAGUGGGGAAUAUUGGACAAUGGGCGCAAGCCUGAUCCAGCCAUGCCGCGUGAGUGAUGAAGGCCCUAGGGUUGUAAAGCUCUUUUGUGCGGGAAGAUAAUGACGGUACCGCAAGAAUAACGCCCCGGCUAACGUUCGCGCCAGCAGCCGC